AUUGAUAUUUAUCAUUGUAUAUACCAAGUUGAAAAACAUACAUUGAUUACGGAGUGGAGGAUGAACUUGAAGUCAAGCUGUUGCAAAAGAAGACUCAGAGAAACUUUUGAUGGCAGAACAUAACAUAAUGACACGUAGAUAGAUAAAAAGCAGAACUCUUUGCUAAAUACAACUCUGAAGACAGAAGACUGCUAGAUGGGGCCAUACGUGUAUUGCUCUGGGGGACAGAACAUUCUCAUCACCCCAGAAAGAAUUCUGUGUCCAUUUGACAUCAACCUUAGGCGACCAACCACUGACUCACUCCUUGUCUGAACUGAUCUGCCUUUUGUAGGUUUCAUAUCUGGCUUUGUAUCUGGAUUUUGUAUCUGGCUUUGAUGUAGCAUAAUGUUUUUGAGCUUCAUUUAUGGUAUUCCACUUAUCAGUAACUUAUUCUCUUCUAUUGAUGAAUAAAAUUUUGUUGCAUGGAUAUAUCAUAUUUUGUUUAUCCAUUCACCAACUGGUAGAAAUAUGGGGUGUUUCUAGUUUUGGGGUAUUAUGAGCAAGGUUGCCAUAAACAAAGCUUGUGUACAAUUAUUUAUGUGAGCAUAUGUAUUCAUUUCUCUUGAGUAGAUACCUAGGAGUAGAAUUACUUGGUCAUGAUAUACAUUUAUGUGCAACUUUUAAAGAAACUGUCAAACUCUUCUCCCAAGUGUUUACACCAUUUUACACUCCCACCAGCAAUAUAUGAAGGUUCUAACUUCUUCACAUUUUCAUCCACACUUGUUAUUGUCUAAUUUUUUUAUUAUAGCCAUUCUAGUGGGUGUGCAUGAGCAUUUACUCACAAUUAUUAACUUGAGAGUGUGUUUGCAAUGUAUCUUUACUCCAGAAGUCUUUUCUACUUCCUCAAAUAAAAAUAUUACCACUUAUCUUGUUUCCCAACCUCACAAGAAGCCAUUUUGUCCAUUUUCUUAGGAUUCAGGGAUCUGGGAAAUGAGAUUGUGCCUAUGCUCUUUCCAUUUAGUGUCCCAGGACAACUGAGGGGCAUUUUCCUGUUGAUUCCUUGGGUCUAGCUAGAAGGUCAUCAAUAGGUCAUAUGAUAGA